rnacentral:lncRNA from 1 species
CAAGCAACAAUCUUGACCAUGUCGUCUCCCAUAACCAUGGUUAAAGAGGAAUCAAUGGUGGUGGAAACAUCACUGCAUCGGAAGUCAACUGACACUAGAGGGACAUCACAAACAUCCAAUAUGCCAUUCAAUGGACCAUCAGCUGACUUUCUGAAAGCUGCAUUGACAUCUUCAGCUGUAAUUCCUUUCUUCUCAACAUUGAUAACGAGGUCAACGACUGAAACAUUAGGUGUUGGAACUCGGAGAGC